UUGAUACAUCUAUUUUUUUUGAGUGCUCUGAUAUUUUUGAUAAUUUUAUUUUUGCUUGAAUGCCAAAAUACCUCGAUACAUCCAUUUUUGAUUUUAUAAAAUACUCCAAAUUCUUCUCUUUUAAUUCUUGGUUUUAUCCUUGCUUUGAUAUCAAAAUGAGAAAAAGGGAAAGAAACAUUCUUUUUACAUUUAUUGCUCUGAUAUUAAAAAUAAAGAAGAAAAGAAUAAAAUUUUUUUAUGAACCAUCUCUGCUUCAAUAAAAUUUUUUUUUAUAAAUUGAACAGUCUUUAUAUAAGAAAGGAGG
rnacentral:lncRNA from 1 species